rnacentral:rRNA from 1 species
GACGAACGCUGGCGGCGUGCUUAACACAUGCAAGUCGAACGGAAAGGUCCUGCUUUUGUGGGGUGGUCGAGUGGCGAACGGGUGAGUAACACGUGAGUAACCUGUCCUUGACUGUGGGAUAACUUCAGGAAACUGGGGCUAAUACCGGAUAGGAGCUCCUGCUGCUUGGUGGGGGUUGGAAAGUUUCGGCGGUUGGGGAUGGACUCGCGGCUUAUCAGCUUGUUGGUGGGGUAGUGGCUUACCAAGGCUUUGACGGGUAGCCGGGCUGAGAGGGUGACCGGCCCCGCUACGACUGGAAUGAGGCACGGACCCCUACGGGACGCAGCAGUGCAGAAUAGUACACUGUGCGAGGAGGCAUGAUGCGGCACAGCAGCGUGGGGGGAGUGAGCAUUCCGGUUGGGAACUGAUUUUCUUUUUGCCGAGGCGAGAGUGACGGUAAUGGGUGAAGAAGCACCGGCUAACUCCGUG